CCAGACCUGCUAGACUGGCCAUUUCCCUUGUCCUCCUAACUGCAUUUCCCAUCACUCAAGCCUGGGGACGAUGUACGGGCCUUCGCCCUUCCUGCUUCAUGGGCCCUGAUUGGUCCAAGUUGGUCAAGUACUCGUGCUCGGUGAUUGGCUUAGUAACCUAAUUCUAAACCAAUCAGCACGCGGCUCUCUCCAGAAAGUGGUUCGGGGUGAUCCAAUCAGUGCAAAGCUUAUGUCUUUCACUGUGUCCUGUAAACAGGAAAAAGAACGCGCGCAGAGCCAAGGGGAGGGUAUCACUUGAGACUGUGGAAAGCCAGCCCGGGGUUGAAACCAAAGCACAAAGAGCAGAGUCUCCAGAAACGCAGAGAACCAGAACCGGGGUCCUGACCGAACUCCUGGACUUUUAAGUUGUGUGAGCAAUACAUCACCGCUGUUGCUGUUGUUUAAGCUAGUUUGAGUUGAUUUUUGAUUGUUACUUCUCGAAAGCCUACCAAAGCAUCCAUACCUUCCUCUACCUGGCCCGUGGUGGGCCUGAAAUUCCUACCACUGGCCCUCCAUUCCACAUCUCCGUGUCGGACGUGACUUCGCCAAGCUACAGGCAGAAGGGAAGGAUUUAAGCUUAGACAGCUUAAUCAAAGAAUGCUUCUCCAAGAAAGUUCUGGGGACGCCUAACGUAACAGCACGAAUUUCUGAGCUCCAUUUGCAUUUACCUCCUGCCGUUAUGCCCUUUUUGCUUUUUGUUGUUGUUCACACAGAAAGGCCACCUUCCAUCUGGUUCUUAUGUCCAAUCCCACCAGUUUUCAAACCCCAGCUCAAGUGCUAGCUUGUCCCUGAAGCCUCCGCUGACAGCCUCCGCUGGAAAAAAAAAAAAAAAAACAGCCCCCUCCCAAAUGGUGGACCACUCACCUCAGUGUGCCCGGCCCACACUCAGUAUCCCCCCGCAGACACACUCCAUCGUGAGAUGUUUGCCUGCAAGACAACUCCUAGGUUUAUCUUUUGUAUUCAUCCUAACUCUCUCAUAUUGUGGCCGGGCCUUCCACAUCUCUUGAGGAGGCAAGUUUAGUGAUUGAAAAGAAUAGGUUUUCCUUAGGAAUUACAGGCCAAAGAAACGGCUAAAGCAAUGGUUCUCAGGUGUGGUCUCCGGACCACAAGAUCGGCAUCACCUGGGGACUUGUCAGUACUGCAAAUUCUAGGGACCUUCAGAACCAGAAACUCUGGGGGUGGGACCCAGUAGCCUGCGUUUUAACAAGCUCUCCGGAUUCUGUUGCACUUUAGAGUCUGAACACCACGGACUGGAGGAAAAUCUUAAACUACUGACUGAGGAGUAAAUGAGCCUGGUUAUCCAACAGCAGGACUGGAGACCAAGUGAAGAUCGAGGGAAAGGAGAGGAAAGCCAAUCUCUUUAAUGACUCGAUGAAUGUCUGCACCAGCCCUUUUGAAAUGCCUGACAGCUUUCCAGCAAUCUGCAUUCCAGAGUGUGAGAAGAAAGAUACUGAAAACCAAGAGACUCUAAAAUAAUGACUGCCUCUUUGGGAGCACAUCUAUGAAAUGCAGCCGGAUCCAGAAUUUACCACGCCUUGGUGACGGUGGGCAUCGGCUGGUUUUAUUUAAAGCUGGAUGUUCUUCAUAGAGGCUCUUUCCAAGUAAAAGGAGAGAACAUUAAGUUAAGAGAGCAGAUAAGAGGAAGGUGUGAUGAUAAAAAAUAAAUAAAAGUUAUCACACAGCAGUAGGAUAGGAUAAAGACAAAAGGGUAUCAACAUCCCAGUGCAGUAGACAGACGGAUAUGGUCGUGAAAGAAUUGUUGCCUGGGAGUUCUUAAAUGGAAAAGUUGACACUCAUUAUGAAACUUGCUUUUAUUCCCAGCAAACAGUCUGAAAGAUGGACUCCCUCAGUGCCUAGUAAAAUAAAUUUAAGGAGCAGAGGAUUAAAUAUAUAUAUAUAUAUAUAUUAGAUUUGCCUAUAUGUUUUAUUCAUCUCAUUAACCUGCAGCCAUAGAAUUUCUGUUUUAAUCUUAGGUUUGGGGAGCAGGAAUAAAAGACAAUCAGAAACAGGCCUUGGGAUUAAACUCAAUGAGGCCAGGACACUGUUCUGAAUUUUCUGUGAUUAUUCAGAGGAGGGGAUGGAAGGUUUAAGGU